GACGAACGCUGGCGGCGUGCUUAACACAUGCAAGUCGAACGAUGAAGAAGAGAAACGCGAACUUCGGUUCAAAUUUCACUUCGGAUUAGCGGCAGACGGGUGAGUAACGCGUGAGCAACCUACCUCUUACAAAGGGAUAGCCUCGGGAAACCGUGAUUAAUACCAUAUGACACAUUCAUAAGGCAUCUUAAGAAUGUUAAAGCUACGGCGGUAAGAGAUGGGCUCGCGUCCCAUUAGCUAGUUGGUGAGGUAACGGCCCACCAAGGCGACGAUGGGUAACCGGCCUGAGAGGGUGAACGGUCACAUUGGAACUGAGACACGGUCCAAACUCCUACGGGAGGCAGCAGUGGGGAAUAUUGCACAAUGGAGGGAACUCUGAUGCAGCGACGCCGCGUGGGCGAUGAAGGAAUUCGUUUCGUAAAGCUCUGUUCUAUGGGAAGAAAAGGACUGUACCAUAGGAGAAAGCCCCGGCUAAAUACGUG
rnacentral:rRNA from 1 species